rnacentral:rRNA from 1 species
UACGGAGGAUGCAAGCGUUAUCCGGAAUGAUUGGGCGUAAAGCGUCCGCAGGUGGCAGUUCAAGUCUGCCGUCAAAGACCGGGGCUUAACUUCGGAAAGGCAGUGGAAACUGAACAGCUAGAGUAUGGUAGGGGCAGAGGGAAUUCCUGGUGUAGCGGUGAAAUGCGUAGAGAUCAGGAAGAACAUCGGUGGCGAAGGCGCUCUGCUGGACCAUAACUGACACUCAGGGACGAAAGCUAGGGGAGCGAAUGGG